AAGUCGUAACAAGGUUUCUGUAGGUGAACCUGCAGAAGGAUCAUUAGUGAAGAUUUGGGCAGGCCAUACGGACGCCAAAAAGGUGUCCCUGGCCGCCCACACCCACUAUACAUCCACAAACCCGUGUGCACUGUCUUGGAGAAAGGCUUCAGAGAAGUUUUUGGUGGCCUCUCUUGGGGUCUUUCUCGCUACAAACUCGAAUGGUUAGUAUGAACGUGGAACUUGGUUGGACCGUCACUGGCCAACAAACUAUACACAA
rnacentral:misc_RNA from 1 species